rnacentral:pre_miRNA from 1 species
AAAGCACUCCCUCCGUUCCUUAAUACAUGCCUUCCAUUUGUCAAAAUAUAGAUGUAUCUAGACAUGUUUUAGUAUAUAGGUACAUCCAUUUUUGGACAAAUGGAAGUCAACUAGAGUAGUAAUUUGGAACGGAGGGAGUAUAUG